GACAGAGGGGGCAAGCGUUGCUCGGAAUCACUGGGCGUAAAGGGCGCGUAGGCGGGAUGGCAAGUCGGUCGUGAAAUCCUUCGGCUCAACCGAAGAACGUCGGCCGAUACUGCCGUUCUUGAGGGAUGCGGAGGAGAUUGGAAUUCCCGGUGUAGCGGUGAAAUGUGUAGAGAUCGGGAGGAACACCGGUGGCGAAGGCGGGUCUCUGGGCAUCUCCUGACGCUGAGGCGCGAAAGCGUGGGGAGCAAACGGG
rnacentral:rRNA from 1 species